rnacentral:lncRNA from 1 species
AUAAUCUUCAAAAGUUUGAUCAAUUUCAGCUUGUGAAUUCAUCACAAAAGGACCAUGUUGAACCACUGAUUCAUUAAUAGGUUGUCCACCUAAUAAAACAAAUCUUAAUGGUUUUGAAGAUUUGUUCCACACACUAAGUCCUUCUCCAGGGCCUAAAACCAAGCAAUGGUGAGCUGAUACAGGACCUGAAUUUGGAAUUCCGAAUACGCCUUCUCCUUCAACUAUAUACACGAACGCGUUCCAAGAUUCAGGAGUGGGUUGAUGAUAAUAAGAUGUUGGUUGUAGGGUGAAAUCGAGGUACAUUGUAGGCGUUCGUGUAUAAACUGGAGAUUGAACUCCCAUUGCUUCACCUGCUAUGAUUUUUACUUCAACCCCUUCAUUUUCUGCUGUUGGUAUGUCCUCAUUCAGUAGUUCUUGAUACCUUGGCUCA